AUCUUGCGCAAUGGGCGAAAGCCUGACGCAGCCAUGCCGCGUGAAUGAUGAAGGUCUUAGGAUUGUAAAAUUCUUUCACCGGGGACGAUAAUGACGGUACCCGGAGAAGAAGCCCCGGCUAACUUCGUGCCAGCAGCCGCGGUAAUACGAAGGGGGCUAGCGUUGCUCGGAAUUACUGGGCGUAAAGGGAGCGUAGGCGGACUGUUUAGUCAGAGGUGAAAGCCCAGGGCUCAACCUUGGAAUUGCCUUUGAUACUGGCAGUCUUGAGUAUGGGAGAGGUGAGUGGAACUCCGAGUGUAGAGGUGAAAUUCGUAGAUAUUCGGAAGAACACCAGUGGCGAAGGCGACUCACUGGCCCAUUACUGACGCUGAGGCUCGAAAGCGUGGGGAGCAAACAG
rnacentral:rRNA from 1 species